AUAUAAUAUACAUACAUAUAUAUAGAUACACAUAUGCGAUGUUUGCUCAAAAUUUGGUUCGAUAUAGUUCUGAGCAUAUGUUGCAUACAUGUAUAUAUAUAUUUGAGCAUCACUGAUUGUC
rnacentral:precursor_RNA from 15 species